GAAAUGCGAUAAGUAAUGUGAAUUGCAGAAUUCAGUGAAUCAUCGAAUCUUUGAACGCACCUUGCGCUCCUUGAUAUUCCUUGGAGCAUGCCUGUUUGAGUAUCAUGAAAUCUUCAAAGUAAAUCUUUUGUUAACUCAAUUGGUUUCUACUUUGGUAUUGGAGGUCUUUGCAGCUUCACACCUGCUCCUCUUUGUUCAUUAGCUGGAUCUCAGUGUUAUGCUUGGUUCCACUCGGCGUGAUAAGUUAUCUAUCGCUGAGGACACUGUAAAAGGUGGCCAAGGUAAAUGCAGAUGAACCGCUUCUAAUAGUCCAUUGACUUGGACAAUACUUUUAUGAUCUGAUCUCAAAUCAGGUAGGACUACCCGCUGAACUUAAGC
rnacentral:misc_RNA from 1 species